AUCAUAACAAACCCCGGCGCGGAAUGCGCCAAGGAAUCUUUAAAUGCGUCGGCACGGCUCUGUGACCUUAUCGCAGGGCGUCAGUGCCAGUGCACUAUUACUACACGAACGACUCUCGGCAACGGAUAUCUCGGCUCUCGCAUCGAUGAAGAACGUAG
rnacentral:rRNA from 1 species